rnacentral:rRNA from 1 species
GAUGAACGCUGGCGGCGUGCCUAAUACAUGCAAGUCGAGCGAACGGACGAGAAGCUUGCUUCUCUGAGGUUAGCGGCGGACGGGUGAGUAACAAGUGGAUAACCUACCUAUAAUACUGGGAGAACUUCGGGAAACCGGCGCUAAUACCGGAUAAUAUUUUGAACCGCAUGGUUCAAAAGUGAUAGACGGUCUUGCUGUCACUUAUAGAUGGAUCCGCGCUGCAUUAGCUAGUUGGUAAGGUAACGGCUUACCAAGGCAACGGUGCAUAGCCGACCUGAGAGGGUGAUCGGCGACACGGGAACUGAGACACCGUCCAGACGACUGAGGGAGGGCGCAGUAGGGAAUGGGCCGCAACGGGCGAAAGCAUGACGGAGUGAGGGCGCGUGAGUGACGAAGGCCCUCGGAUCGUAAAACUCGGUUAUGAGGGAAGAACAUAUGUGUAAGUAAAUGUGCCCAGCGUGACGGUACCUAAUCAGAAAGCCCCGGCUAACUACGUG